AGGAAGGGUCCGUGUGUUGGUUUACGGGUUGAGCUGUAAACUCAAUAGCUUUUUAGCUAUCGAAGGUUCAAUUCCUUUUCUUCCUA
rnacentral:tRNA from 5 species